UCGACGCAGUGUCUCGUUCCCUCGGGGAACCAUGGUUACAUGCGUAACCUGGAGACAUUUUUUUUAUACUGUAUUAACCCCGAUGGACCUCUUAGCCUUGACCUAGUGAACUACCACUAGAGCUGGAAUGUCGUUAUGUCACAUUGAUGGAAAUUUCCAUUUUUAUACACUGUCAGGGAUUCUCCAUCAGCAAGAGUCAGGAAUAUUAUUAUAUUUACCACUCGAAUGUGUCAGAGCUCUUCCACGGACGACUCUGCGGCUGUCUGUCACGAUCUGCGUCGCUGGCGCUUGACCUCCACAACUCCGAAAAACACAAAGCGUCUUGCUGUCUAGUAUAUCGUCCUGGUUAAAGUGGACAGGCAUGGAUGAAAGAGGCAGUGAGAAAUCCUCCAUAGCUACGUAGCUAUGCUACUGCCUAUCUCAUAGACACUACUGGCUCUUGUUUAUAUCAAGCACUCUAAAUUCAAAACGAAACAUGUUAUUAUAUAUGGAAUCAAAUCACACCUCUCAAGACAUUUCACUGUGACUUUAAUGAACUGAUGUACAUAUACGACCAAAAGUUUGUGGACAACUGACCAUCAUGCCCAUGUGUCCUUGUUGAACAUCUCAUUCCAGAUUUAUUCCCCCUUUGCUGUUAUAAUAAGCUCCACUCUUCUGGGAAGGCUUUCCACUAGCUUUUGGUUUCUUUUAAACAUAGACUUUUGAAGCCAAAAAUUUUGCGUUUCCUCUCUGGUAUUUGGAAAGAAUGUGAGGCGAGAAAACGUUUUUCAGAAAGUAUGUGGAAAAUUCAACCCUUUGCAGUAAUGUCUGAAAUCAAAGCUAUAAUCACAUGCAAACACACACAGUCACACGCCCACUCAAAAAUGCCACACAUUUUGUAAGUGCCUGUGGUUUACUGUCUGUUUCUGUACCCUUUUAAUUACGUUGCUGAUGAAAUCAUGGACUGGAAAAAUAAACAGUGCUUGUCAAUAAUUAUGUCUGUUAUCUGUUAUACUUGACUGCUAAUCGCUGUUGAAGAGAGUGACUACAAAUAUGUGAACGGAUAGGUUACAUCAAAAAGGCCUGUAGCGAGACAGCUGAGGCUCUUAUUUAUCAACCUGUGCUUGUUACCUGUUGUCUGUUGGACUCGUAUCCAUGGUUCAUGUUCAGGCUCCUAGUUUUUGUAUUGUUUAUUUUUGCACUUAUUAAUAAAUUGCUUGCACUUGCAUCCAACUGCAAUCCCUGACAACAGCAAAUGGGAGGUGUUGCCUCGAGUGCUUUGUGCAUGUCAUGAAAUUCCAAUUACAUAAAAUUCCUCAUUCAUGAAGCUCUGGAGAUGGCACUGGUGAUGGCAGUUCCCUUAGAAUAUGUAACCGUUAAUGAUAGUCGUGGCUAUAAAUAAGUCAGUUAUGUUUCGUUCCACUCAAGGCUUCUUCUACAGAGAAUGUGACCAAUCCUGCCUUGACCACAGUCAUUACUUUUGUUUUAUGAUCUAGCCUUAGUGUGAGCCUAUCACACACAAAGGGCGAAGGUUACUGCAUGCUUCCUCCAAGUGCAGAGUAGCACACUCAGAGGAAAGCGCUAUCUACCCUCUUCCGCAUACUUGACCUUGCCUGUGACGUUUUCUAACAAACGGUUCUCUUUCCCAAAAUAUAAACAGAUUAGCCAUUUAAAGAAGCAUGACAGGAUAAAACAGUUACAGAAAUGAACAAAUGAAUGCACAGAGCCACACAAUCAACCUGUACAUUCCCUUGUUCACAAACAAGACCUUUCUUAGUCCCAAAAGCUGUAUAUCUGACCUCCUGUAUUAAAGUAAAUACUUGAGUUUUGAACUUCAUUUAUUUACAUUUACAUUUACUGAUGUGUACUUGUAGCUGAAAAGGUGAGGGUUGAGGACCUGGCUCAAGGUGGUACCAGGAUUCAGACUCACAACCUUGCGAUCAGCAGGCAAGAGGUGUUUUUUCACAUCAUAUUAAUAAUAUGAUCAUCAUUAAAUAAUCUCCAAUAUAUCCAGAAUUCUGCAGCUAGGGUUCUCACUUUUUCUAAGAAAUCCUCUCAUAUUACUCCCAUCCUACACAGACUUCAUUGGCUACCCAUUCGCUUCCGUAUUCAAUACAAGAUUCUCCUUAUCACCUUCAAAGCACUUCACGGUCUCGCCCCCCCCCCCCAUACAUUUCUGAUCUCAGUCAUACUUACUCCCCAGUUCGCACAUUACGCUCUUCAGAUACUGGUCUGCUGUUAAUUCCACGUCACAGGUUAGCAUCGUUUGGUUAACGAGCGUUUUGUAUCUCUGCCCCCACACUCUGGAAUUCUCUUCCCAUAAACAUACGUGAUCUUUCUUCAUUACAGGAUUUCAAAACACAUCUUUUUCUUUCUUGUUUUUCUGAUCUCUGACUGUAUGAUCUGACUCAUGCCAUGGAUUUCUUGUUUAUUUCCUUUGUUCUUUGUCUGCUGUCAUAUUUAUCUAUUUUCAUAUUGUAAAGUGACCUUGAGUUUGCAGAAAGGCGCUAUAUAAAAUAAACUUAUUUAUCAUCACUUCACUAAUCAGAAAAUAAAUUAAAAAAAAUAAACGUCCAUUUACGACCUCUCUAGCUCUCUCUGUAGCUUGUUUGAGGUCUGAUGAGCUUCAUUUAUCUCAGUAAUUUACAUAAAAACAUGUGAUUGGAUACACUGAAAUAGAGGAUUUCAGUAUUCCAGUAAAAUACUGUAGCGGUAUAACUGGCAGUAGCUCUGCAAGUGUAUUCAUAUUCUAUGGACUGCUAAUUUGAAUGAGGUUUUUGUUGUUUAAAUGUAAAUACAAACUGGUUAUGCAUUUCUGGUUAUGCCCAAAUCCCAUAAACCGCAGUGUGAAUGCAGCAUAUCUAUGCCUUAUCUGUGGGAAUUGGUUCUGAUGUCUCUAUUUUCGGCUCGAACUCACAGGCUUUCAGUCUUAUUUUGGGCUGCACACACCCUCCAUUUGUUUAGUUUGAACUUGCAAGGAAAACAAGAAUGCAUGAAAGAAGCCGAGAGGUAACCUAUUAUUGUCCAGAGGCACCUGAGAAGAAUGUGCAUUUACUGUGAAGGAGGCUGAAAUCAAAACUUCCAUCAUACACCCACAGCUGUAGAAGCAUGCGACUGAUACUGGUAGAAAAAAAAAAAGCGAGUUUGUGCAGCCUAGUUUCGUUGAUACAGCAGAAUAAAUACCUUUCUAUAUAAAUGCCAUUAAAGACUGUGCAAAAAAUGCAAGAAAGAAUGUAUUUCCUAAUACAACGCUAGCUCGAUAAGCUACUGUGAUGUUUGCAGGGGGCGUGGCAUAUGUGGCGUUUCUCGAACGCUACUGACUGUUGUGCAAAUCAGUCAAGCACUUCAACUCACUGACCUCGACAGGAAAUGCGCCACUAUACAGAUUCAAAUCAUGGCUUUCGAGCCAUUUUGACGUCAGUAAAUUGAUGUAUUUCCUGCACCCAAUAUAAAUCCAGACUUUUGUAAAUAAUACUUCACAAUGGAAGCCUCGGGAGUGCUUUGUGCAUGUCAUGAAAUUCCAAUUACAUAAAAUUCCUCAUUCAUUCCCUUAGAAUAUGUAACCGUUAAUGUUAGUCGUGACUAUAAAUAAGUCAGUUAUGUUUCGUUCCACUCAAGGCUUCUUCUACAGAGAAUGUGACCAAUCCUGCCUUGACCACAGUCAUUACUUUUGUUUUAUGAUCUAGCCUUAGUGUGACCCUAUCACACACAAAGGGCGAAGGUUACUGCAUGCUUCCUCCAAGUGCAGAGUAGCACACUCAGAGAAAGCGCUAUCUACCCUCUUCCGCAUACUUGACCUUGCCUGUGACAUUUUCUAACAAAUGGUUCUGUUUCCCAAAAUAUAUAAGCACAUUAGCCAUUUAAAGAUAUAUAUAUAUAUAUGACAAUCUGAGCCCCCCCAACCCUCAUAUGUGUAUGUGUGUGUGUGUGUGUAUAUAUGUAUAUAUAUAGACACAUUAAUGCUACUCACACAUGUACACGUAUACAGUAUAAUCAUUACCUGCUCUUUCGAAUACCUUUCUGAUGUCAGUCGGUCUUUUUGACAGAGCCAUCUCUUUUUUCCUCUUGAAGAAUUCCUGAUCUUUACCGAUUGUCUCUGGAUGCUUCGUUUCCUGGUGUCUUUUCAGUUUGCUUGGUUUCAUGCUCCCGUUUGCCAAUUUUUCACCACAGAACACACAUUCAGGCCGGGACUUGUCUUGACCUAAAACCAAAAUUUAAGUAGGUUUUGUCAUAGUGUCUAAACUUUUUCUUCACAUCUGAUGAAGACUCACCGCAUUUUUCCAUUUGAUUUUGAUAUUGUGUUGACACGCACGUUAUCUGAACCGACAUCAGCCAAUGACAGUCCUUCCAGCUUGGAACGUGAACGCAAUUGGCUAGUGUAAAAGAGAAUCGUUAAUAAUAUUUUAUAUAAGAGAUCAUUGUUUUUUGACUGUCUCAUUGUAAGCACAUGAUUUUUUAAAAACAUACAAAAAUAUUUUUAUAUAAAACAGUUAGUGGAAAGUUUUAUGCAUCUUUAUUUGACCUCAAAUCAUAUCAGCUCCCGCGACCCUCCUGUGAGGGUUGAUCUUGACUUCAUUGUUUUUGGCUCAACCUCAUGGAAAUUUAGUCUUGUUUUGGGCUGCACACACCCUCCACUUGUUUAGUUUGAACUUGCAAGAAAAACAAGAAUGCAUGAAAGAAGCCAAGACAAAACUUAUUUUUCUCCAGAGGCAAUGUGAGAAGAACGUGUAUUGUUAAUAAACAGUUUUAUAGAAAAUCCCACAGAAGAGCUACUGUAGCACAAAUUGCUGAAGAAGUUAAUGCUGGCUCUGAUAGAAAGGAGUCAGGACACACAGUGCAGUGUAGCUUGAUGCGUAUGGGGCUGCGUAGCCGCAGACCAGUCAGAGUGUCCGUGCUGACCCUGUCCACCAGCGAAAGCACCUACAAUAGGCACGUGAGCAUCAGAACUGUACCAUGGAGCAAUGGAAGAAGGUGGCCUGGUCUGAUGAAUCACGUUUUCUUUUACAUCAGGUGCGUGUGUGUCGUUUACCUGGAGAAGACAUGGCACCAGGAUGCACUAUGGGAAGAACGCAAGCUGGCGGAGGCAGUGUGAUGGUCUAUGCAAUGUUCUGCUGGGAAACCUUGAGUCCUGGCAUUCAUGUGGAUGUUACUUUGACACGUACCACCUACCUAAACAUUGUUGCAGACCAAGUACACCCCUUCAUGGCAACGGUAUUCCUUAAUGGCAGUGGGAUAAAUGCACACUGCCAAACUGCAAAAAUUGUUCAGAAUUGGUUUGAGGAACAUGACAGAGUUCGUGGUGUUGACCUGGCCUCCAAAUUCCCAGAUCUCAAUCCAACCAAGCAUCUGUGGGAUGUGCUGGACAAACAAGUCCGAUCCAUGUAGGUCCCACCUUCAGAGGUCAUGUGGAGUCCAUACCUGUGUGUACCUACAUACCUUAUGUAGAUUUGUUUCUUCCUUUUCCAUGAUAAUGACACUCCUGGGCAAAAAAAAAAUGGGCCAAGCCCAAAAUGGCUAUCUAAUGGUUACCUAAUGAAGGUUUUGUGUCUAGAAGAUGUGUUAAGAAGCCACCAUUGCUGUCUCAGAAAAACAUCAAAGAGAGAAUAAAGUUUUUGGCAGAAUAUGGAAAGUUUGAUUCAGACUGGUUCAGAAAAGUUGUGAGGAAUUGUGAUUUGAGCUGCAUGGUGAGAACUACAAUAGUGAAUGCAUCUCUAGCACAGUUGAGCAUGGAGAAAGAGGUGUCAUGGUGUGGGAAGCCUUUUCAGCUGCUGGUACUGGUGAGCUGCUUCACCGUGAAAAUUCAGUUAAUGCUCUGGAAUACAGGAGAAUAUUGCAGAAAGGCUUGCUUCCUACAGUUGAAAAGUUGUUUUCUGAAGAGGAAUGAUCAGAAUUUUUCAUUUUUCAGCAAGACAAGACUCCUGCCCAUACUGCAAAGGCUGUCGAAAAGUGGCUUGACAACAAGUCCAUCAAGCUCAUGGUUUUCACCGUCCUGAUUUGAACCCUAUAGAGCAUACUUGUUCUCACAUUAAACACAAACUCACCGGAAAUAUUUUUCAACUACUCAUCAACAUUAGCACUGAAUAGAACAACAUUGACUCUUCGUUCUGUAAAAAGCUGUCCACAAGUUUACCCACAAGACUUUUAAAGAAAUCAAAGGGAAAAGCUAUCCAGUACUAAAUUACUUUAUCUAUUUGUUUAAUUCAUGUCCCGACCAAUGAUUUGUUGUUAAGACCAUUAAAAUCUUAAUAUUUUGAUAGCAUAUUUUAGUACACACUAAAUUAAAUAUAAAGUAUCAUUAAACUUUUGCAUUUUUUUUUUAAUUCAGCAAUAUGCUUUUUCAGCAGUUUGUUAGCAAACUUAAACAUUGUGAUGCAUAUCGUGUAUCGCAAACGAUAUUUUUGACAAAUAUUUUUGACACCCGUACUAAAGAACUAUAUAACCAAUGUGUUUGAAACACAUUAGUUGUCGUGUCCCGGAUUUAUUUUCUCAUUUUGUUCGGGAGACACGGCGUUUUAUUUGCUCACAUCUACAGAAAUAAAUAAAUAAAUAAAUAAAUGCUUCAACCCAAAACACAUGGCAUGUUUGAUUUAUUUCCCGCAUUCAGUUUCGCAGUUGUUUUGGCUCUCACCCAAAUGUCUAAAGAAGCGGUGUUCCAUUUAAAUAAUCUAGACACUGCGUAUGAGGAAGCACUGUCUCACACGCACACACGCAUGAUGAACAGUUAACCUGAAAUGUUGAACGAAGGCAGAAAUCUGACGCUGCCAAACACAUGUUUCCAGUAAAAAGGCCAGACAUUCUGCCUCUGAUUCAUGCAGUGAAGAAAAUAGCAGCCGUAUCUAACUGCCUUUGGUCUAUUUAUUAGAAUCUGCACUAUUUCUCUGUCUAUUAAUCUUCCCCAGAUAUACUGUAACAUACUUUAGCAUCACAUAAUAUCGUCUGGAGAGCUAGUUAGCUAGUUAAGUACACUAGUAUAUUGAUCAUUAUCCUCUUCUAACAGUUUUUAAUGUAUUACAUCAUGUUUCAACAAAAAAAAAAAGUCAGCAAGACAUUAGACGCUGUUUAAGCUAUGAGUUUGCAAAACAAAAAUGAUGUAAUUCUAAGCAAUUUCUUUCGAAUGCGCUGGCAUGAAACUUCAGCGUGGCCUUUGUUUGGUAAUUAAGUAAAGUAGCUUUAAAUACGAAUGCAUUAGUGGUUACAUGCAAAUCACAUAAAUCAGAGUUGACAUUUUAAUGAGUGCUAAAUAAUGAGUAGUUCCACUGAAAGCCAAUAAAACAGAGUUGAGUGCUGACACUUCUCAUUUUGCUGGCGGAUUUUAUAUGUUUGGAAAGACUGUAUUUCACCACACACAAUCCAAAGAGUUCUCCAGACAUCACUGAGUAGGACUGCAGAUGCAUUUUUCUUGGCCAAUUUUGUACAUUAUAUAAUUUGCCUACACAGAUACACAACACCUGCAAGUGAAACAGAUUUUCCACACAAUUACUGGUUUACCAACAUCAAUUACCCGGAAUAUUAACUGCACCAUUAUAUAAUUAACUAAAUUAUCCCAACCGUAAAGGUUUCCGUUCAGCAAACACGUCACUGAUUGAUUUAAAAUAACAUAUGAUAAGAGUGUUUUCACAUACAGUUCUUUUUAAAUGGACCAGGCUUAUUCCGUGGUUUAUUAAGUGGACUCAAAAGGGGACUCGGUUCUCUUUCUGGUCCUUUUUAGCAUUGAUGAGAUCACUUAGAGCACUUCUUUUUCACACCUAUAUCCUUUAGAGCUCAUAUGAUACCACUAUUAGCCCAUCAAAGUGUUAUAGUGCUCCCUAGCACUGCUUACCACUUAGAUUUCAACCUAUAUAAUUAUCAGAAGUGUGUGUGUGUGUGUGUGUAAACUCAUACAACAUGCUGGACUACGCCCGGGUAUCCAGUCUGGUGAGAAAGCACUGCAAGUUGGCCAGACACUGACACGUUUAUGUUUCUUUGCAGUUUAAAUGAGACAUCACCUGGAGUAGCCAUGAACUUUCUACAGAGUUCCCCUUUCAGUAGAUCAAAGAGCUACAGCAGGAAAAACUACCACUCCAGCAUCUACCAGAAAGCCGAGAUACAAAAGAUGGUUGUUUUUAUACCAUCAUUAUGAUCAUCAAAGGACCUAAAAUCGAGCCCUGAGGAAUACCAGCUGGCCGACGAGAUGCACCCGUGUCCAGUUGGCUCAGAUGCUUUGUAUCUGUAUGAAGCACUAUGAGCUAAGUAAACAAGAUAAUCCACUGUUAUUGCCAACUGUGGUUGCUCGUCUCCUGUGGCAGUCAGAUUGGCCCCUUUCAUGAACAGACAGCUUCUGACUAAAUGUUCCAGACUUUCUGGUGAAGCGAGAUGUCUGGCUUUGCGAGGAAAGUUGUCGUCUGUAUUAUUGUAGUAAUGAUCUGAGUAAUUCCCCCUCUGACUCUGACACAGAAUUGAACCAUUAAAGAUCUGAAAACCCAAAAACAAAAGAACUUUGUAUUCCUGUACCUCUAUUAACUGCAUUCACUAAAAUAAACCACAAAUGAUAUAACCCUCUUACAAUAUAUUCCUGUAUUGUCUGCACUUUGUCAUACACUUUGCCUGUUUACACAUUCUUGCUCUGAGCUGCCAAGUUAAACUCCUGUGUACUUUGUUUAUCUGACUCUGAUUCAAUUUUGAAACUUGAAAUUUGAAAAAAAAAAAAAAAAGUCUAUCCAAAAUGAUGAGGGUGAAUUAUUUAGUCACACCUAAUUAUUCUUAUUAUUAUGUAUUAUAUGAGAAUAAUGAGUUUGAUAGUGGACUUGCGAUUGUAUCAGCAUUUCUGAUCAUUCAUCAUUUCUGCUAUUUCGUAGUGACAGUAUGGCUGACGUCCAACACAUUCUUCCAUCCACAUCCGUUCUUCAUGAACAAUCGGAAAAUGAAACUCAGCUUCUGGCUUCCUAAUGAAUGUUUGAUAUAAUGAGAAAUGUGUGGCUCUGAAAAAAAAUACAUUUAGUAGUCAUGCAGUAGUAAUUACAUGUUCUACAGCAGGACUUUUGAUGUCCCCUUGAGGAAAAUCUCAAAAUGAGAUUAUCACCAUUGCUGAUAGAGAAAACGAAAUAUGCAGAACCAAGAUGACAAUGCACACAAAUGGAACGCAAUGAGGCAAUGAUGCAAUCGACUCAUGCAAUCAAAUGAACGUCAUCAUGGUCAGCCACAUUCAAAUAAAAGGAACUGAAAACCCCAGGACCAUUUUUAUUAGACUUUAGACUUUCCUCCACUGUUUAUCUUCAGGAACAAGAGGCAGAGGCAGGCUUAAGAAACUUAAGAAAAAACUUAAAGUUUGUAGACGGUUUAAGUAUAACAUAGUAAUAAACACUUUAAAUGGAAAAUGAUUUUUAAAAACAUGAUUUUCUGAUUUUGAUAGUGGUUAGACUUAACUCACUCAUUGAGUCCGAUUGGUUGAGUGAAUCUAUCACUGACCUGAAAUUAACCAAAAAACAAGAACUCAGGAGCCGAUCCCAUAAACCACUGCUAUGUUAGUCUAGCAUGAGAGUUUAACCAUGGGCAAUCAACUGUCCUUCUCGUCUCACAGUGCUAAACUGACACGCUUAUGUUGGUUUCUCUUUUACACAUCAGAAAGAUUUGUCCGUUUUUGUCCUUGUUUUUACAAGAGUGGACUACUGCAACUCAAUCCUAGCGGAUCUGCCUCUGCAUACCAUCGCCAUUGUCCACUGCACCUGAGCCAGAAUGGAGCUGCACGACUUGUUUUCAAGUUCUCCCACCACCCCAUUGCUACACUUCCUCCACUGGCUUCCUGCAGCUGCCAGUGAAAAAGACAAAGACCAGCACCCACCUAUCUUAAAGCCCUUAUCACACCCUGCGCUGCACCACGCUCCCUCUGAUCCUCUAGCACUGGUCGACUGCUCCCACCAUCUCUCAGCUCUCAGGGUACAAGGAAGGCAUGCAUCAUGACUCUUCUCUGUUCUGGCCCCUAGCUGGUAGAAUGAAGUUCUCCUAGAUAUCCGAACAGCUGUCCGAGUCACUGUCUGUCUUCAAAGGACAACUAAAGACCUACAUCUUCCUGAAGUACUUAAAUUAGCACUUUGUAAUUAAAAAAAAUCCAUGUCUUGUGUGUUUUUCAUACUACACUAUCCUCCCAAAUAGGGUUUUUAGACUGAUAGGGUAUUUAUUGAUAGAGACUGCAGUGGAGCACUGGAUAAGGGCAUGUACCAAAUGCCAUAAAUGUAAAUGUUAAUGUAAAUAUACAAAUAUAUGUUUUAAAAAAACUAAAUUGAUUGGGGGAAAAAAGUAUUCAGACACCACAAAUUAACAACAUUAGGACUUUUUUGCAAAGCCAUUGUCGGCAAUUACAACUUUUAGAUGUCUCUUGUAACAAGUAAUGAACUGUAGCUUUGUGGUUCAAUUCUGGCCCAUUUCUCUUGGAAAAUCAUCAAUCUUCAGUUCCCCAAAGUUAAAAGAUGCCCCUCUGAUGGACUCGCAAUUUCAAAAUUCUCCAUAGCUUUUCAGUGGGAUUAAGUCAGGAGACAAAAUUCUCUGUAAAUAUUCAAUGGGAUUAGGUCAGGAGACUUAAUCCCAAUGCAAGGCCUUCUUGAGUUACUGUGGCUGCAUGUUUGGGAUCGUUGUCUUGUUGUACCAUCCAUCUUCUCUCCAGAUUCAGUUUAGAUUCUAGAUGAGAUUAGAAUGAGAUUAAAUUCUCCUCUAAUAUGUCCCAGUCCCAUCUCUCCAUUCAUGUCUUCUUUGACAAUGUGUAAUGCCACAGAAGCAGCCCCAUCUCCUGAUGCUCCCACCACCGUGUUUCACUGUUAUUCCAUAAACAUUGCACCUGUGUACAGUUUUAUCAAACCAAUUGUACUGACAGGGACUAUGAAGGUCUUUGUUAUGUCUUAUGGCUGUUAUCUGUAGCAUUUUCCACUCGAGUGUUGUUUAAUAAUAUUAUUCCUGAGAACCUUUUAUGGAGCUUCUUCACCAUGAUUGCUAUUUGUAGCAUGAAAUCUUUCCAACCAAUGGUAAUGUCUUUUAUAAUGCUACCAGGUGCAGUUUGAACAACAACAGCAUUUAUAUCUAGAAAUUGAUUUAUUUUGAAGUAACCUUUACAUUUGCAAUUUUUUUAAUAUCAUUUCCUUAUUAAUUUUUUAAACUUCUUUAAGCAAAUAUUUGUUUAUUCCUAUGAAUGCAUAUUUUUUGUUCAUAUUUUUGUUCAUGAAAAGUCAGAAGACAUUAUGUGUGUAAACCUGAACUGGAUAUAUAUGCUGGAAGUAUAUUAAAUAACAAAAAAACA